AUUGUUCUAACUUAGUAGUCGCGUUUUCCAUUGACCCUCAAAUUGUGUGAAUAUAACCUGCGCAUAAAUAUUUGCCUGAUGGCAAAAAACGACAACUUUGCCAAAGUUUUUGCGCUGGCAA